CUUGGUCAUUUAGAGGAAGUAAAAGUCGUAACAAGGUUUCCGUAGGUGAACCUGCGGAAGGAUCAUUAUCGUACAACCGAGGUGCAAGGGCUGUCGCUGACCGUCAAAGGUCGUGCACGCCCGAGCGCUCUCACACAAUCCAUCUCACCUUUGUGCAUCACCGCGUGGGUCCCCUUUCCGGGAGGGCUUGCGUUUUCACAUAAAAACUCGAUACAGUGUAGAAUGUUUCUUUUGCGGUCACACGCAAUCAAUACAACUUUCAACAACGGAUCUCUUGGCUCUCGCAUCGAUGAAGAACGCAGCGAAAUGCGAUACGUAAUGUGAAUUGCAGAAUUCAGUGAAUCAUCGAAUCUUUGAACGCACCUUGCGCCCCUUGGCAUUCCGAGGGGCACACCCGUUUGAGUGUCGUGAAAUCAUCAAAACCUUCUCUUUGACCCUCUUUGGUUGGGAAAAGGAUUUUAGGACUUGGAGGUUCCAUGCUCGCCUUCACUUUUGAAAGCGAGCUCCUCUCAAAUGAAUUAGUGGGGUCCGCUUUGCUGGUCCUUGACGUGAUAAGAUGUUUCUACGUUUUGGAUUUAGCACUGUCCCUUGGAUGCCUGCUCCUAACUGUCUCACGGACAAUGAUGGUGCUCUGGUCACUGCCAUCUACAUUGGCGGGAGGCUGGACCCACAAAAGAAAACCUUGACCUCAAAUCGGGUGAGACUACCCGCUGAACUUAAGCAUAUCAAUAAGCGGAGGA
rnacentral:rRNA from 1 species